UAAACGUUUGGUUUUAUUUAUCAAGGUUAGAUUUAAGUUCCCUGUGUAAAGGUCUCGCUGGGUGGGUGUCUCAUUCAAACCUGAGGGGACUACAGCCCAGACCAUGGAAGCUUCCCAAGGCCCUCAUUUUUAUACAACCCUCAUUUGACCCAUGGUACUGGGCAGGGCAGAGAGGCCUUAAAAAAAGCACCACAAGCCAAAGCGUCUCUGGGGAUUAAGGAUCCUUUGCCAUAAAACUCAUUCUGUGUCUCAGCAUUGCAGGGAUUGGGGAUAGGAAAGGCGCCAGUUUUUGUGUGUUUGUGUGUGUAUAAAGUGGACUUUCCACUGUAAUCCAGCCACCUAAGUUUAUCAGGUGCUUCACUGAGGAAGCCUAGUUUUUUAAGCACAAUAGCAAAACAUCAGCUCUGUAUUUUCUCCUGUUAUUUCAUUACAGUAGCUGCCUGUGGGGACUAGGAAAACAAAUCUUCCAACAUAUUUUAAGGCCUAAAAUCUUAGUUCCCCAUUCUCCUACCUUUUUAGAUUCAUAAGCAUUUCUCACCUGGCAUCAUAGAUAAAACAUAAUUGUUUGGGGAGUUGAAUUUAAUUAACUUACCUAACUUUGUAACCCAUCUUGGCUUUAGUAACUUUAUCAAGGUGGUGGCUUUAGCGAAUGUAAUGAUAAAAGUAGAGGAUGCUAAUGCUUUUCUUAACAUUUCUCAACCAUAGAGAGAGCUAAAAGGACUGCAGAGUGAGUUUCUUCUUUUUGGCCACUUGCAGUGACUAUUUAUUGUACUCGAUUCUUGUGUGCCCUAGCGUGCUAUGAGGGUCACCAUGUUGGAUUUGUGCAGAGCUGAAAGCACCAGGUGUGCCAGAGAUGCAGUUUGUGAUUAUGUUUGCACUGGAUCGUGAUUUGAACAAGACACUUAGACUGAUGAAUUCUUUCUUUUGAGGUGGAAAGGAAAGUUGUAGAUCAGGACUCUACACCCUGCUCACAGCUCAGAAGUGUAGGUGUGUCUGAGGCUGGUGUGGACCGCUGUGGAUAACUGGGCCUCCUCACACAUCAAACCUGUGCAAGAGCUGAGGGUAAUGCAGAGGACUCUGGUGUGCCACCGAAGAGCCCUUUAAAUAAAUCGAAGCUU
rnacentral:lncRNA from 1 species